UACGUAGGGUGCAAGCGUUGUCCGGAAUUAUUGGGCGUAAAGAGCUCGUAGGCGGUCUGUCGCGUCGGCUGUGAAAACCCGCGGCUCAACCUCGGGCCUGCAGUCGAUACGGGCAGACUAGAGUGCGGUAGGGGAGACUGGAAUUCCUGGUGUAGCGGUGGAAUGCGUAGAGAGUCCGGAAGAACACCGGUGGCGAAGGCGGUCUGCUGGGCAGUAGCUGACACUGAGGCGCGACAGCGUGGGGAGCAAACAGG
rnacentral:rRNA from 1 species